GGGCAACAUUAAAAUUAUUUGUUUUAUGGAGUUUAGCUAAGAAACAGACAUCUGCCCUGGUCAGGAAGAAGAAGAGUUGAAAAGCAGUGUUCAACAAUAAGACAUUCACGACCUUCGAGGAGGAAGAUCAUGAGUUCCAACAUGCAAGAGUCAAAUAUUCUCAAAAAUGGACAACUUGAGGAUAUGGAAGUA
rnacentral:lncRNA from 1 species